AGCUCAGAUUUGAAUCGUGCUUUGCGGCACGAGUUGUAGAUUGCAGGUUGGAGUCUGUGUGGAAGGCGGUGUCCAAGUCCCUUGGAACAGGGCGCCCAGGAGGGUGAGAGCCCCGUGGGAUGCCGGCGGAAGCAGUGAGGCCCUUCUGACGAGUCGAGUUGUUUGGGAAUGCAGCUCCAAGCGGGUGGUAAAUUCCAUCUAAGGCUAAAUACUGGCGAGAGACCGAUAGCGAACAAGUACUGUGAAGGAAAGAUGAAAAGCACUUUGAAAAGAGAGUGAAACAGCACGUGAAAUUGUUGAAAGGGAAGGGUAUUGCGCCCGACAUGGGGAUUGCGCACCGCUGCCUCUCGUGGGCGGCGCUCUGGGCUUUCCCUGGGCCAGCAUCGGUUCUUGCUGCAGGAGAAGGGGUUCUGGAACGUGGCUCUUCGGAGUGUUAUAGCCAGGGCCAGAUGCUGCGUGCGGGGACCGAGGACUGCGGCCGUGUAGGUCACGGAUGCUGACA
rnacentral:rRNA from 1 species